rnacentral:lncRNA from 7 species
AGGGGCAGAGCAGACUUGAUUCAUGAACAGAAGCAGUUUCAUUCGAGAGGGACAGAGGAAGGCAGGAGCUGCAGUGACCACAGAAACAGAGGUAAUUUGGGCCCAGUCUCUCCCCGCAGAUGCCUUAGCUCCUAGGGCUGAACUGAUGCUAUCCCAGGCCCUCAUCAUGGGAAAAAGGCUAGCCAUCAACAUCUACACCGAUAGCCGGUAUGCGUUGGCCCAUAUACAUGAAGCCAUAUACCAGGAGAGAGGGAUCCUAACUGCAGAAGGAAAAACUAUCAAAAACAAAGAUGGGAUCCUACAGUUCCUUGAAGCCCUCUGGCUGCCAAUGAGAAUGGCAAUCAUACAUUGUCCAGGCCAUCAAAAAGGAACCACGGCAGUCACCAGAGGAAUGCCCAGCCUACACGGAGGAGGAGGUCAAAUGAGCCAAGAGUCAGCCCAUGAACCAGUGUUCAGAGGGCUGGUGGCAGAUGGCUGAAGGUUUCCAGCAGCAGCAAUCUCAGCCCCUCCACAUAAGCUGGGCAUCCUUAGAACCACAACAACAGGAACAAUGGCAACCAAAGCUCAGAGCACAGAGCCAAGAAAUAGCAGAGACAGUAAACACAACCCACUCUCUGCAGCUCCAACAGAGCCUGCCCUUUCAUUGUCUCCAGUCGGACCUUUAACCACCAGGAUCCUCAAGGUGCAUCAGAAUUUUCUGAUGUUUGCGUCUUAUCUAUAGAUUCUUAGUGUGUCAAAAGCCUUCUACCUGUUCUUGGUUGGAUCUUCCACUUAUGCACUUACGUUGCCUAUUU